GGCUGGCUGUAACACAGUGUGAGGGAGGGAGGCUUGAGGACAUGCAGGCCCCCAUCCGCGUGUCACCUCAUUUCCAUUUCAGAACAGAGGUGAGGAGGUGUCUUGUGGAGCUCGGAGGUGGUUUUUAUGUGAAAUGUGAGAAAUGAAAUCGCUCUCAGUCCUACACCCUCAGAAUUAUUUAGGUUGGCAUUUAAUCCCUUUUGCAUUUUCCUGCCCACUGUGUUCUGGGUUUCUCUCUGCUUUUGUAAGCGAUGUGAAAGCAGCACCCUGCAAAGCACCAGGGUUACCACUCGGGGCUCUUUGGACAUGGAGCCACAGAACAGAGGUUACAGAUCACAGCUUUGUGAAGAAACAGCCCCAUUGUCAUAGUGAGUCUGUGCCCAGCUGUUUGCAGGCAGCUGCCACGUUCCAGGGAGGUUUCAGUGGCUGAUGAUGACCCCUCAAAGCCCAGCUGACUUUGGUGAGCUGCAGCACUCUUACCUGAUCCACCAUUUCAGUCAGUCUAUGCUCUCUCACAAUCAUCUUUUGUGACUCUUUCUAUUUGUUUUUCUUUCUGGCUUUGAGCCCCUCAACCGGCUGCCUCAGCCCAGCGGAGGUGGAAGACAUUAAAGGUCCUGUGAAACCUCACCCAAAAUAUGCACAAAGCUGGGACACAGGUGUUUCCCCUGCUCAAUGCUCUGUUUCGCAAAUUUGGCUGGCCCAGCUUUCUGGAUUGCUUCAUGAGCCCAUCUUCCUGAGGGGGCUCAAAGCCAAGCCAGGAACAAACAAGAAACAAAGGCACGCUGAGGUGUGGACACAAGGCCUGGGGAAUGUGUGGAGAUGGAGGUGAGAGAGUUUCUGCCAAACACAACCUACAACCAGACUGAUCAAAACGCCAUUGAUCGCUGAGUCCCGCAGACAGGAGUGUGCCAGUGGUGUUCAACAAGGUGAGGGAGGGAGCCAAGGAGAUGAAAAUCAAAUCAUCAGGAGCUUCAACACUAUCAAGAGCUACUCUGGCCUCAGGGGAUGGCUACCUAGAUGAAAGCUGAAGAACAAGCGAACAAGUCCACAAUUACAAGAUCCUGCAAGACCAAGGAGGCCACGAUCUGAAUUGGAAAUUAUCCUUACAGCUCAGGGAAAUGAUUCCUGAAUACUUAAAAGAAAUUUCAUCAGGAACAGUCCAAAAUGCUGUGCCUGGGAAGCUGUUGGUGCCACGUUUUGCUGCAGAUGAAGAGGAAACAGAAGAUACAAGAAAAGCAGUCAGAGCAUAGAGGACUGGGAAGCAUGAACCACGAGGAGAUGCUGAAUUGUGAACUGGGUUUGUUUAUUUCAGGAAGGAGAAGGCUGAAAGAGUAACUUAACAGCAGAUUUCCAGUGUAUAUCUCUGUGUGUAUGUGUGUAUAUAUCUAUACGUAUACGUGGGUAUAUAUGUAUAUACGUACCUAUAUAUAUAAAAAUGAAAAUAAGUGAUGGCUAUAAACAAGGCAGUGGCACAUCGUUCUCUUCGAUCUCAGAGAGGAUAACAAGCAGAAAUCAUCUUAUUUUAGUACUUAAUGUCAGAGUGAGAAGAGUUGGCACAGUCUUGCAAAGAUGCUUCUUGCUGGUUGUUUUUUUUUUUUUUUUUUCCUCUUUCAGAAAAGUCAGACAGUGCCUGCUGGGAGGCCCUGGCUCUGCUUCAGAGCAGGGAGCUCAUUCCAUGAGGUUUUGUACAGCCUCGCAUUUCUGCUCAGGAAGAAAUGCAAAAAUGUUCUUAUCUCUAGAGUUUCCAUUUUAAUACUGCUUUGACUAUAUGCCAGAAAUUGUUUGAUUUGAUGGUCUUACAUUGCUCACCACAAAAAUGUCAACAUUUAUUCUCUGUUACCAUCCUCUGCACUGAAGAUCCUGCAGUAUUUUAGUUCAUAAAAAGCCAACCGGUCCAUUACUCGUGCUCUGCAAACAUCAGUUGCUGCCUGCUUUAGACUCUCCUUCAUUCUCCAUGGCAGCAUCACUCCAAACCUUAUUUCAUAAAAGACAAUAGACAAAAUACGGUUAUGUAAAUAUUAAAAGAGAACGUUGUGAAAAGGAAUUAUCCAAGAAUCUGCCCCAUGGAGAAAGAAGCAGAGCAGAUCCUGGCAUUAAACCAUGUUAAUGCAGAUGCGCAGCAGAGCGCAGUCUCAGUACUCCAUUAAUUAGAUUCUGAUACAAGUGAAGACCCGGGGCUUUUUCUUGUGUUGAUGCAAGGGGUUUCAGCAACCAGCUCCUGGCUGACCCCAGGACAAGCAAGAGAUGAGACUGAUGUGUCUGUGGAGCCAAAAUCACUCCAGGGGAGCACGGGGACUGCCCUGUUCACACUGACCGCAUGGGCCAUUGGUGGUGACCACUACCUCGGUGACUUUCCUCGCGCCACCUAUUGCAACUCAGCCAAGCCCUUUCUUGAAGUGAUAUAUAGGCUACACCACUGCCGUGAGAAGUCAUUGAUUAUAGGGUACAUUAGCAACAAUACCACAGUUAACAUUGGAUGGUUUGUUAGAGCAGUGAACACCCUCCGCUUUGCUUUCAGCUAUUAAUUAACCAACCAGUCAUUAACUGCUGCUAACAAUUGAUUUGCAGGGAAUUAUCACUUAAAUAGCGGGAGGUAUUUAAGAGGAAAAUAAAUUAAAACAAAGAACUGCUGGAUCCUUGGGCACAGAAAGGACUCCUUGUAAUAUAGAGAAUGGCUGCUACAGCCCUAUAAUUACAGAGUGAUAAACAAUCAUUGGGAAGUGCGUUCCCUUCCAGAGACAAUGACAUUAUGUCUCCUAGAAAGAAACCCCUUUGUCUGCACUAAUUGAAUGAUCUGAAAUGAAUGAUGUUAUCAGAAGCCUAACCCAGGCAACUAAUGUUAUAUUUAUGAGUUAUCAAAAAUGUUUAAUUGCAGCUGCAGUCUCUCCAAGAAGUGUCAUGGACACUGCAGCGUCCAAAAAUAUGAUUGAGGGCUGGUAUGGCACAUUGUCUUAAUUAUCACGAAGAAUUACAAGUUCUUCAGUUGGUUCUGCCUCCCUCUGCACUGGCAGAACAAAUGAGAUCUAUUAACCCAAGUGCAAGUGAACACCGCCUCCUAAUGACAUUUUUUUUUCCUCUCUGUGAGCAGAGAGAGGGAGAGGAGAGGUUGCAUAAUGUUUUUCCCUGAGAAAGAGAGACACAAAUCAAUUUACAGUGCUUGUAUCACCUGCGACCACACUCUCAGCUCCUCCUGCUGCAACUGCCUGCACCGGUGCCACCAAGGUCAACGCCUGGCUUGACUCCGAAGGAAUCACUACACACUUCAGAUCAUGUUUACCAUUUCCAAGUUUAACCACGUUUCACUGCCCUCUCCUGGAGCCAGAGGCUGAAUGCUUGUCUGGCUUUUGGGCCGUGUACUGCAGCAUUAGCAAAGAUUUAAUGUGAAGGGAGAGGGCUGCUGUUCCUUCAAAUCCGAAGUUAUGGGACAGACAAAGAUGAAGUGGGAAAGUAUUGCUGGAAAAGAUUUUGUGGAUACGUGUCAGUUUUCCCCCUCUAUCUGUCUUUUUAGGAGCAAAUUCUGUAAAAAGCCUACAUGGUUUGACCUGCCCCGGGGGAAGAACUGGGCUGUGCCCAUGGUGGCUCUGAGGCGCUUGAGAGGCUUCUCAAGUCUUCAGUUGUAAUCUCCAUUGUUGUUUCAAAUGUUCAUACAUGCUGCAGGAAUUUUCUGCCCUCCAAUGAAUGCAGGCUUUCUGACUAGAAUUUUAAACUCUUAAGGUUUCUCUUAUUUGGCUCCAGCUGGUUUGGUGAGCAUAGAUUUGUUCUGAGUGUGUCAUGGACAUCUUGGAAAGGAGUGUCCACAGUGACCUCUUACCUGUGACAGCUCCUCUGCCUUUUCCUUCAUUUAUACAUGUAAGAAUAUGUAACUUUUUGAUUAUCCAUAAAAUAAAUAGCUACUUAUGAGAGGCUGUAGGAAACAACAGAAACUGAGCAGAACUUGGGGUCUGUGAUAUUUUGUGUUUCCUUACCCUACUGAUCUGGCACAGCUGGAUCUCAGUAUAUUUCAGUACCAGGAGGUGGCAGUGGUAAGCGUUAGUAGACCGGAACAGAAAACUAGUUGGUAAAACCUCUGUUGAUGCAAUGUAUGACUACAGCUGUGUGAACCUUUGCAAAGACCUAUACAUCCCUUUCGGUUUUAUUUAGCAGCCUGCAGAGGGUGAGAGACAGUCCCUUUCCAGCCAAAAUCCUCAGUUCAGUCGCAAAAAGGCAGUUCAGAAGUUUUAUAGGUUAUAUGAUAUGGAAAGAUGAGCUGCUGCUAGCAAUGAGAGCAUCGUGAUUCCCUUACAGUAUUUGAAAACAUCAUCAAGCUGUUAUCAGGUCAGAUAACAGUACUUAAUCCUCCCAAAACACACUUGAGAAUGUUUUAGCACUCCUGGGGGAGGCAGAAUUAAGUAGCAACACCACAUUUUUUUAGUCUAAGGGAUCUUUUUUGAUGGUUGAAGUCAAUAAAUGACCCAAGUACCUUCAUUUCCUCACAAGAUGGCAGUGCUUGGUGUCUAAGUCCAAGAGAGUCCUGGGGCAAGGUAGUUGCUCAGCCUGUUAGCCACCAGAAAAGGGAAUCACCGUCACAGCGUUAAUUAGACUCUACUGUGUGAAUGUUGAUACCCUGCAAGAUGUCAGAAGUUGUCCAGUUGAAGAACUGCAAAGUUAUUUUUCAGCAAUCAUGCAUGCAAGCAGGUGAACGAUCCAAACUGGAGAAUGAAAGAAAGGGUUGAACAGACAGAUGUUGGCCUACCUUGGUUUGGGUUCUGAUGCUCACCAUUACAGUGACGCUGCCUGUCAUGGGGCAAAGCAAGUCAUACUGAAAGGUCCAGAACCACUGUUGUGUGCACGUUCCCCCCUUGAAGCUUCGAGAAAGACCCGUGGCAGCCCACCUCUACUGAGGACAGGGUUUUCCUCCAUCUCCAAGAGCAGAGAGGCAACAUUUCUUUGAAAAUCUGAAAGGUGCUUGCCAUAACUCUUGCUUAAGGACUUUUUGAGAUACUAGGAGUAUGUUGUUCAAACCUCCCCUCUGUCUAAGAACACUUAAAACUAUGUUUUUGGUCUCCUAAGAGAGUUUCCAAGCCAUAAGAAUGUAAACGAGAUGUCUUCCUCAAAGCUCACUCCAAAGCUCACUCCAGUGCUUUCUAAUUUCAUUUCCUAAGACCAAUGGGGCAUUAACAUGAGGUACCAAAAAAAGGUAGCUGUGCACAUACUCAGAUGUGAGUCUUUCCAACAGAAAAACUGCUUCCAGUGAUUGGCUUGACUUGGGCAGACUGAACCUGGGCACCUCAAGCUCAGCUAGGCAUGAAGCUUAUUCUGAUAAGCCUGAGGAGGAAGAUCUAGCAGGAAAACUAAAUCAAUUGUGGGAUAUUGGAGGAUACAAUGUUUUUAGGCAGUUGAUGUGGCAAAUUUUGAUUGGCUGUAAAACCCAUUUCUUCUCAUUUAUGCAGGCUAUGUGUAAUGGUGAUGCAAACUGCCCCAGGCCUGGGAAUAAGCUGGUUCUUGCUUUUCUUAUUUUAGCUCUGUGUGAGAGUAUAAAGGAACCAAUACAGCUAAUAAAACAGUGAUUGAUUUAGUCUGUCUAGUGAUGGUUGUCUCUGAUUGUAUCACCAGCUUUUCUCAAAGCAGUUACCAUAGUAAUGAAAAAUAUCUGCAAGGUCGUGGAGAUUUUUAGGGACAACAAAUGUACAGUAUGGCAUCCAAGAAAAAGAGACUAAGUGGAAGCCAGCUAGGUGUUCAACUUGAAGGAGAAUGUUUUGCCCAAAUAUUCAGCACAAUUCAAUUUUUAUACAGUAGGAACUGACCUACCAUUUAUUUAAUGUCAUCUUUUUUCUAGCAUUUAAUCAAUAUUAAUUGAUCUUUAUUGUACUUAAUUCAACUUAAUGAAGUGUUGUGUGCUUGAAACAGCCAUAUAGCUGAUGAAGGAGAUAGAACAAUUACUUUGUUGUUUUUCUGUGUUGUUAUCUAAUUAAUGUAUUUUUUUAGCUCAGUUUUACUUUGGAAUUACAAAUUCAAGCAUCUUAAUAUCCAAAGAAAAUAGGAAACUAGGAAAGCUGCUAAAAUAUACACCAGAGUAUUAGUAGCAACAUUUGCAAUAAGCUUAUUUUAAGUUCUUUUCUGACAGAUGAGGAGUUUUUGGUGGAUAUUGGAGAAUUCAGGUCAAGCUAUAGUAGACGGAGACUUUGAAUAGAGUUAACAGCAGUUUGAAGACCCCUGUUAGUUUGCAGGCUCCAGAUUCUCAAGUGAGCUUUACGUGAGAUGCUGUGAAGUCAAGGAUAACUCAGGGACCCGUCAGCGAUGUAAGUUAUCUCCUUUCCUUCUUUGUUAUUUAAAACACAAAAAGCAUUUAUUCACUCUUUCUUUAAAUACCUGUUUAAAAAAAAAAAAAAAAAAAACAAAUGAAUGUUUCAAGGGUCUGGUGAGCGCAGGACGGGGCUGUGAGGAGGGCUGUUAGCAGUUCUGAAGAUGCCUGAGAAGACUUUCCUUGCUCAGAGCUAUGUGAAAUACUUGAGCAGAGGAGAGAGGAGAAGGCUGACAUUUGGAUUAAGAGUUGUUGAGCAUUAAGUGUUUUUGAGACUGAAGAUCUGGCAGCAAAUAAGGUGAACUGAAGUGUAGCUUAUCUGUUUGGCUGAGUUUCCAGGGUUCACAGGUCACUCGUCCAGGAAGCAAACUGAUUGCUGAGGGAGGAGUGGGGCUGGAAAAAUAUUUUCUUACCGAGGAUGCUUUCACAGGUGCUCUUCCCCUUUGCUGAUUAUUCCCAAGCUUUUUUUUUCCUCCAACUGCGUAAGGCUCACCUACAUCUGGGUGCCAAUGCUUGCUCCUGAAAGAUGAGGUUUUGGUGAAAUGUCAGGGAGGGACACUUCACUUUAGCCUUGAGUUUGGUCUUUAGCCGUCUGGGAUCAUCCAGCACCUGUAACUAGAGAUUGAUUGUUUCACCAGCAGGAUUUUGUUCAAGAUGUUUUUAUUUAGUGGAACCAUUGAGGCACUGGCGAGUAGUAAAGAAUAGCAAAGAAACACGUAUUGAAAUACCAGGUAUUUUCCUCAGCUGGUUUCAUCUGAAACAUCUGAAUUUUUUUUUUCAAAAAUUAAAUUCCUCGAUGAAGAGGAGUUUCUUAACAAGAAGUCUUGCAGUGCGAGACAAGGAGCUAGCAUCCUGAAUCCAUGCUGGAAGAAGGGCACAAUUGUGGUCUUUGUAAACUCUCUGCUGAAAAGUUUUUUGUAGUACCUAGGGGUUGAAACAAAAGACAGAGGAAAAUUCAGCUAAAGAAGAUUUAGUAGACUGCAAAAUAUUGGUAGGAUUUUUUUUUUUCAGCCAUCUCACAGCAUUCAAUUACAUCAAUGCAGUGAUGUUCAACUUCUGUAUGCAGAAAAUCCCACUCUUGGGAGCAAUCAUUUACGUUCCAUGGCUCCUGUCCACAGGGGCUGAACAGCUUCACCGUGCGAGCAAUCCUGCCACACCAGCUCAGUUUGAUAUUUCAGCUGUAGCUCGUAUGGUUCCAGCAGCAGUGAAGGAAUGAGGGGAACACUCCCACAUGCCUUGUUCUCCAUCCAAGGCUGCUUGCAUGUAGAGAUCCCUUGGCGAGUUAACACUCACUGCUGAGUACAUAAAAGUGAGGGGGACCUUUUAAACGCUACGUUCACAUCUUUGUGGACAGAUCCUUUUCCCAAGAUAAAGAUCUUUUAACAUUGAAUGCAGGAAGCUUCUCUUGUCACCUAAUGGGCAAGCAUGAAAUACACAUGAGUAUAAAUGUGUCUUGGAAAUUAACAAAAUACAUAAAAAGAAUAAUGCAAGCGAUGUGACACUGAUUCAAGAAAGUGUCCAGCUACCUGCCCAGGUGCUUGCCUGAAAAAACCUCACAAUCCUGUGAGCAAGCAGCCUGGGGUUUUUGUAGGGCCACAUUAAAGCUUGCAAGGCAUUGUUUUGAAGUGUUGCUGACUCUUCCUUCUGUUCAUCGCAGAUCUCAUUAGGAAAUGAAGGAGAGGAAACUGGGCAACCAUCCUGCUCGGCCAUGAAGCAACGCACAAUGAGCAUAAUGAAGCCAGCAGCUGCAGGACAAUGGGAGCAGGCUGGGGCUAUUUUUGUUAGAUGUGAACAAUCAAUUGAACAUGUGAGACCUUACUGUGCUCCCUCCCCACCUUCUCCCCCCUUCUCAAAUGCUGGAAAUUCUCCCAAAGAGAAACGGCUUUCCUUUUCUCUUUGUAAAGCUGAUUAUCAUCAUAAUUUUCUCUUUAAUCUCCAAGCAGGUUUCUUUUGGAAGUCUUUGGCAGUUUCCUCUGAGCACAGUUGUUUGACUGUGUGGGAGUGAUGGGUGGCUGGGUCACCCCGGGCACCAGGAGGCCUUGGGCAGCAUUCACAGCGUUUAGGGGGUGUGAGAGACCCCUGACCUCUCCAUGGCUGUGCGCAAAGGAUGGCAACAUUGUCACAGAGUUAUCCUCACAGCAAAAAUGUGAAUUUGGACAGGGCAUAGGUCUCACAGAUGGAAAAUAAACAACAAGUGUUGGCAUUUGAGAUGCAUCGAGAAAAAAAUAUAAAAUUAAGAUGGUACUCAUCGCUGCAAGUCUCAAUUACCUCUGUCUUCAUCACUUCUUUGUCGGAGCAGCCCUUUUCAAUGCAUAGCAACACUAGCUCCAGCUUACAAAUGGAAAAAAAAAUGCAAGGACAUAGACCUAUGAUUUGUGAUGUUGAGUGAGAAGGAAAGAAAAAACAUAAAUUUGGUCUCUCUCUAAACAGGUUCAUAUUAUUCCUUUGUGCUAGGAUAUAAAUGUAAAACCCCUCCCCGGAGCAGUAAUGUUAUAUCUACAUCUUUUCAGUGUUCUGUGUGUCAGUAGCAGCUAUACUACCUUAGAUUCUCAUCCUUCAUAAUUAUGAAAGGAAUAUUAAUUUAGAAAUGGGCCUUUCUAACAUCUGAUAUUUCAUGCUUACUCUGAAGCAGCACUUACAGAUUUGCUAUUAAUAUUUUUUGAUUUUCAGUUGUUCAGUGUGCAAAUCUUUUUCCCUUUGUGAAGCAGCCUAUUAGUCACACACAAUCAAUACUUUCUUCUACCUAUUCUACCUAUUAUCUUAAUGUCACUGAGAUCUGGCUGGAUCUUCAUACAAUUCUUGUUACCACUUUAAUUUCAUUAUAAUGAUGUGUUUACCUUGGUAAUAGUUUAAUCAAAAUUGGAUGUGUUUAUAACACUGCAGCUUAGAUUAACAGCUUAGUUCUAUUUUACUACAAGGAAGCCAUAAAAUUGACUGUAAUUCCUAAUCAAUAUAGCUAUAAUUCUUAGAAUUUAAAUAGGUUUUUAAAUGGCCUUGCCUGUGCUACUAAAGGUAACAUGGCUGUCCUGUAAUUAGUCUUCGACAGAAUCCAUUUCCAAUCAGUCAGUUGUUUCACUCUACUUCCAGUUGUCAAAAAAUGCAGAAUUUACUUACUGACAUUUUUGGUUUUUUCCCUUUUCCUACCCCCUUUCCUUUACCCAGACUUGGCUGAAUGAUGUUGUAUUAUGACAGCAAGAAGCGAAACAUCUCAUGACUGAAUCCAUCGUCAUAACACACACGCCUACUGCAGAGGAGAUGCUGGUGGGCUGUGCCUGCUGUCUCCUUUGGAGCCUCUGCCCUCAGAGUCAUUGCCUUUCUCUCUACAGCUUAUCUCCUUUGGGUGAGUACUCUUCCAGUUUCCAAAUCUACUUCUCUGUUCCAAGAUUGUCACUACCAAGUCUCCACCAUUUUUUCUCAAAAUCAAGCUCUAUUUCACUGUGAAGAUCUUUGAGUUGAACUCGGCUCAGCCCUGAAAACUCAAAUUGCAGUUUUCACAGAAUGGCCAAGUCAGUGCUCUGACCUCACUGGUCACAUCUGAAAAUUCUUAAACAGAUCUCAAGUCAUAGUUUAGGCAAAAUAUCCAUCCUCCUUUUUGGACUGGUUGCAAGCAUUGCAGCAUCACUGUGGACAUAGCUCCGGUGGACAGAACAGCAAGAAAAAUGAGCUUCCAGACAGACAAUGCGAAUCGUAGUGUUGUAACAAUAUGCUCAUUCUCUGUGUUCUCUUUUGUCACCUAGUUAGCUCUUUCUGAAGAGAAAAAAAAUGGGAGUGAGGAAUGCCUUCUAACAGCCUACAUACUUCCGUAAUUUGGUUUCCCAGGUUUCCUAACAUAAAGGAUUUACAAAAUCUCUUCCUGAAAUAGCUGGAACUGAACUUAUUUCUAGGCUCUGUGCCCCUCCCUGGAAAGACCGCAGCCUCAUGAACUUGGCUCUGAAUUGCCCGGUGAAAUGCCUGCAAACUGCAGCCCUGGUUCAUCGGUGCUGCAGGGUAUUGAAGAGCUCUUUCAUCAAGGAGAGAUGACAGCUUUCUUUUCAAAUCAACUCACUUAAGGGGAAAAAAAUAGGAGAGGAACGAGAAGGAAAAGCUUUCAUCUCACACAGUUCAAAGCUCAUUUUUCAUGGUAUUGGAUAUGGACAAUACUUUUAAUCCAUUUCUUAGUGAGCCUGAGUUCAACAAACAUGGACUCCCUCCCCACUGUCUCUAAUGCAUUUCCAGCCUGCUCCUGGGAUGAGGAAACAAGAAGGAUCUUGUUGCUGUGAACACCCAGUGCCCGGGACUGCAAAGGCCAUCCCUUUUCCCAGGGAAGAGUCUUGACAGUUUAGCAAUGGCAGGUUAUUAAUACUUCUGAUGGCUUCAAAUGCAAUAUCAGAUUUGCUGCCUGGCUGGGGGUUUGUCUAGACGGGCUGUUUUAUUAGAUAGCAGAUGGCUGGGAAGUGGUGUGCUGUGACAGAGCUUACUGACUGGAAUGUGAAUUCUCUGCUCCUGGAUCAGAGUGGGAAGGGGCUGGGGUGGAGGAUGAGGAGAGCACAACUCCCACAUCCCCAUCCAGUGGAAAAAGCACGUGUAUUUUAUGGAGGGAAAUGAGCUUAACUGCACUCGUCUCAGAUCCUAAAGCAACUCCAAUCAAUCACGGAAUGAAUUUCCCUAAUAUCUACUCCGUGCCAGUACUGGGAAAGUGAAUUUAUGAUCUUUGACUGUUUAAUAUUUGUGAUUUUGGUCUAGAUAAAUGAGCAGUGGCAGAGCAUAUUGUCUGGACAAAAAAAAAAAGUGUCGAUCCAAAUUCUGCUAUCAGGUAAUUGGAUCUGUGCUGUUUAUCCAGACCUGUGUGGGCAGAAGUUCAGGCUGCCUCUUUUGCAGAGAGGGCUGAGAAGAAAGCCUUACUGGUGGAGGACUUUGGAUUUCUGCUUCACUCUGGGCCAAUCUCUGCACACUCAGAUGAAUUUAUUUGCACCAGAGGCAGCAGCUCUCUCCCCUCAGCAACAGCACGUGGCUCUACAGAUGGGCCGCGUGUGUCAAUAUGGACCUAAGUGUGAAGUUUGAAAUGAUUUCCCCUCCUUCUUCCCUGACACAAAGGUCUCCUGGGGAGGAACUGGUUACCGAGUCGAAAAAAAUGUAAGUUUUGUGCAGCAGAGCCUGCUCUCUGAAGAGAGGGAAAGCUUUGUUUCUGGCUUGCGGGAUGGCAGAACAGCAUUUCCAAGCAGAAGAUAGGCCAUCUGCGCUUUCAGGCGCUUCAGCUUAUGUCCCCAGAGCCAGGCUGUGUGCUGGUGAAAAGAAAAUAAAAAGCCCAUGGCAUGUUAAAACUGACAGCCCACAGCCCGGGUGGGUGUAAUGCAGUAGCACACGAGCACAUUUUGGGGUUGUGAUUUGAAGCUGAGUGGUGCCUCUUACUUCCGAAUGGUCCUAAGGGAUGUCUGUGGGGCGAGAUGGCUGUGCUGGUGGCAGUGUGGAGGAACAAAGGCUGGGUGCAUGUUUCUCAGGAGAUGGCAUCAUUGUACGUUUCUGCCAUUGUGGUUUUGGAGAGAGUUUACACCAGUUUGGCUAUUUCCACCAUCAUUUAAUCACAGCAUCUGCAGAAGCGGGACUGCAAAGUCACAGCUGGUUCGGGCAGGCAAAACCUGCCAGGGGUCCUGCAUCACUGCUCUGUGCUAGACCUCAGCCACCAAACCUGGUGCGAUGAUUCCCAAGUGAAAAAUUUUCAACUAGAUUUAGCAGCAGCGGACCAUCCACCGUAUUAUCUUCACUCUGCCAACAGGUAUUGACAACUUCUUUAAUACAAGGGAAUGCGUAUCAUUGACGUCAGCGGUGGUAAUAAUUCUUGUGAUUGUUUCCCAUGCAGACUUAUGCCAGUGGCAAGCUGCUUGGUCAGGGGAGAAGAGAUGCCAAAUUUGGCAGUGAUGUGCCAAGCAGAGUGUUUGCUAACACUGACUAAUGACUGCCGUGGUGCUGAGGGCAUGCAAGCAAUGUGUUAUUUCAAUCUCCAAACACUUUAAGUGAGAAUUUAGACCUUAUGCUAAUUUUUACAUAUUUAAUUUAUAAAGGUCUUUCUUUGUCUUGUCUGACAUCUCUUUACCAGUCUGUGUCUGUUACUCAUCAACUAAUUGGCUAAAUGGUAACAGCCAAGCACUGCAGGCACCUUAGCUCUCAAAUAGUGGGAGACUUUUGGACGGUUGUGAGUUCACGGGCGAAUGGAUGUGCACGAUGAAGGGAUUUCAGGUUUAUCAGUCAAUAACACUGUGGCAUCAGGCUGUCUGGAGUUAGUACUGCUAAUUUAUUUAGUGCAAUUCCCUAGGAUGAGUAAAUGCAUUUUUCUGCACACAAGAAGCUAAUGCUUGAUGAUAGCUGCACAUUGCCAUAGAAACCAAGCCAGGUUCAGCUGUAAGUCAAAGGUUAAUUUGUAAUUAUUUUUAAAGUCAUCUCACUGAAAUGCAUCAGUUUAGGCAGAACUUGUCCAAAAGCUGACUCCUUACUCGUUCUACACUAGCUCUUCCAAAAAUACAUUAACACGGCUCCUGUUUGCUUAAGGCAGAUUCUCCAUAAGGUGUUAUACAAGAUAACUGUCUGGUUUUGAGUGUUUGUAGCUGUGUUUGCAAAUGACAGUGUGACUGACAGCACAAGCUCCCCGUGGGAUGGCUGGGGACCAGAGCACAGAUGACUCAUUGUGUAUGAUGUUGUUUCACACCAAAGUGUUUGCUCUAUAUACUGAACAUGUGUGCGAGUCAAUAGCAAAAAGUUCAAGAGCAAACACAGCUUCAGUGGAAACAAAUUCACAGUGCCUGAAAUCAUUAUACUCCAGCCAGAAAGCUAAUUUCAUUGAGGGCAGCUGGUGAGCAAAAUGCCCAUUUGAACUCCUCUUUAAAGUGGGAAGUUCACACGGAUGAAGCCUAUGUCUUCUUCAAAUGCAGCAUGAACAGAGAAGCCUGACAUUUCCUUCAGCAAAAGCCUUUUUGCUCCAGGGGUGGGCAGGAGUGAGUUCAGACCCCUCCUCAGAACUUCCCAAUACAGCAGCAACAGCCAGUAAUCAGAGAAUAAAAGGGAAAGCUUUCUCCCUUCCUGUCUCCCCAGCUGCCUUUCUAACAGAGUUGUUUUCAUAUCAGGAGCCAUUAAUUUACUCUGUUGCCAAUCAACCCUCCCGUCCAGCCUUUGCAAACCUACAAGGUGCAUUAAAAGAAAGGGAAAGAAGGAAAGAAAGAAAGAAAAAAAGGAUAAAAUAACAAAACUCUUCCUGAUUUGAUGCUGCUUUUAGUGUCCCCCAGGGACAACUUCAGCCCCGGGCUGGCAUGGCUAUACAGAAGUGCCCACGCAACAGGCUUGUCUCUUCCGAGCCAAAACAAAGCAGGUCUGAGAGAACAGCAUGCAUUGUCAGUCCCUCGGAGAGCUGGUGGUGCCCCUGGAUCAUCCCUUCUCUUGGUAGGAAAAACCCUCUGCAACGUAUAUGGGGAGAUUUCAAAUCCCAAGGGAUGGGUGGCUGAAUACAUGAAGGCAAUUUCAACUGUCACGUCCCCUCUUACUAAGACUUCAGGAGGCCUUUGUGUGUUGUCCAUCAAAGUCUGUUGCAGGUGAAGGACUGGUUCAGGCAGUGCUGUGUUUACAGGGAGCAGAGGGGUCAGUCUCCCAGCAGUGCUCCCACAGAGGCUCUCACACUGGGAGCUGGGGGUGGUGCAAGUGUACCUGGAGGACUUUGGUCAGAAACCCUCACACUUGCUCCCUGGAUUCUCUGGAAAAUCUCUUCUGCAAAGCCUAUUUCCACAUCCCAGAUCUCACGCAGCCCUGAUUUUUCUGGAGCUGUGCAGCUAAUGCAGCAAGGGAUUCAUAUACUUAUAGUCGCCUGAGGCACAGGUGAGCUUUGUCAGCCCCAGGACUGCAGGUACAAGCAGGACACAGCAGGAGGAGGCCAUCCAGCUCCCUGUGGCACCAGGCUACAGCAAUGUUCCUCUGCUCCAAACUACCCCUGGGAUGCUGGAACAAUGCGACCUUGAAACACAGCCAUUGGGACAUCCUGCAGCCCAAAGGAUAUCACAGCACAUGGCCAAAGAGAGCCCUCAGAGACCUUCAGAACAUUUUACUUCACCCUUAAAAUGGAGCACAGAUUCUCUCCGUGAAGAAAGAAAUGAAAUAAAAGCAGAGACAGGGUUAUACCUUGAAACAUGGGCACCUGGGGACCGCUGCCACCUUCUGCUGCCCUGUCUGCACGCUUACAGGAGGUUUAUUGCUGCUUUCCUGCCUUUUGAAAUGUGACACUGCAAAGCUUGGGGCUGGGAAAACCGCUUUGUGAUUGCAUUUAAACAUUUUAAAUGUGCCAUGUAUGCGUCCAAUUUCCCACGAGGCACGUGUAACGUGAGAGAGCCUACUGAGGAGCGAGAGGCAGAGCAGUUAGCUCAGCAUUUUGCAUGUCUUGUUCAAUUUGUCCUUAAUGAGAGGGAGAGUGCUUUCUCACCAUUUCCGUUCUUUAGACCAAUUCAUCUGUUCAUCAGUGGACGCGGGCGUAAGUGCACAAAGGUAUUUGCAUGUCAGUGAGGGUUUCAAAAAAUGCCUGAGCUACAGUGAGCCACCGUAUCUUGCCGUUAAAUUCCAUGUCCCUGGUGGAUUUCCCCACGCUGUUGCUAGGAGAUGAAGAUACUGCCUAACAAAGGAAAUAUUGACAAAAAAUUUUCCAGAACGAAUCUAUCUUGUUACAGUAAAUACACUCUCGCAUAAAAAGGAUAUUGCAGGAUUUGUUUCCCCAGUGGUGGCACGGGCAAAAUUGCACACACCGCGUUAAGGUGAAAUUUUCCCAUCACAAAUAUGGCUUUGUUUAGUUUUGUUGAUAUGAGGACUUUCAGUGUAUUUAAAUGCCAGAAGUGCUGUUGCCUUCCAGUGUGUUUUGUUGCUAGGAUAAUAUCAUGAAUAUGCCCUAUGUGUUUUUUCCCCUUCCCUUCUCUGCUACUUCUCCCUUUCAGGAAGAAAUGCGCCCUAUUAUGAAGGCUUCCUUUUUUUUUUUUUUCCCCACAACCCUUCUGGGAAGCAUGGAUUCCUUUGUUUAUUUUAAAUCAGGGAAGAAGCGUGCAUGACUCUGGACAUACAAGGAUUUGGCAUGGAAGCAGCUGAGUGCGAUGGAAAAGCAGAUCAGCCUCUUGCUUUACAACUCUAGGCACCUCUACAUUAAAAAAAAAAUUCAUUGGAAAUUUAAUAAAGAGAGGAAUUGGAGGAAUUCUCAUGGAAAGGCUGAAUUUCUAGAAAGUGAUGAGUUUUCUCCCUUUCAUCUGGUGAACAUACAACAGAUCACAACAGCAAAAGCAAACAUGACUUAAAUGACACAAAAUGAAACUUGUUGUCUUUCUUAGAGAAUAAGUUGAGCUCUGGCCUGUGACUUUACUCCCUCAUCCUCAGCCGUCAUGGCAGUUGGCAGUUCCUGUGCCACCACAAGUGUCUCCUUUCUGUCUUGCUUCCUUAACCCAUGUCCAGCUAGGACACGCCACUACCUUUUGCCUCAUGUUGCAGUGCAGAGGUGAUCCCACAGCUGGACAGAAAAAUGUGAGUGAGGAAGGACACAGCACAGCAAGUCUGCAGCUGCUUGAUUUUCACCUCUCGUGAUCAGUCCCCUUUUCUGUGGUGAGAGCAGGUAAUGCUGUUUUGGGGGUGUUGGUGGGAAGGCACUGAGAAUCUGUCUUUCCACUGCAGUCCUGGUUGUCCACAUCAACUUUUGCAAUGUGGACAAACAUAAACAAAACUUGCUGGAAGCCAGAAAUCUACAUUUAAUUUGUCUAUGCACUUGCACAGGACUUUAACUAGACACAAAUGCAUUCAGAUAUUAUCUCUGCUUGUUUCAAUAGGUGAGGGAGAGGGGACAACUGGAAAGGGCCUUGCAGCUCCCACUGUUUCUGUGCUAAUUUGGUUUUCUGCUGUAAUAUCCUGUUUUGAGAUGCAUUAACCAUUUAGGCUGAGCAUGCUGGGAUGUCAGAGACCAGUGGAUGCAAAAUUUAAGUCAAAACCAAUCAGUGUAUUUUUUCCCAGCUCAAAGCCAAGCAGGGAGAGUUUUAUACCAUAUUUAAAGAUCGCUGCAAUUUCUUUGCUUUGAAAGCUGGCAGUGUGGUAACCUUUAGGUCACAGUGCUAUUUGCAGAACAUAUGGCAAACCGAGCAUAUUUAGACAAAAUAAUAAAAAAAUAAUAAACAACAGUAACAAUAAUGUCUUAAAGCACAAGUGGACCACACUUGUGUCCAGCAUAGACUUUGUUUCUGCACUCCUGUAGGUUUUGCUCUUGCCAGGUGUGCCAUGACGUAGGACUGGUGUGGUUUCCUUACUGUGCUGCUCUGUGGAUGCUGUCCCCACAGACCCAUUGCGUAGGAGGCAGCUCACAGUUAUACAUGCAGGCACAGCCAAAGGGGCUAAUGGAGCAUUCGUAAUGGAAAAUCUUUGCCUACCAAAGAAUUCACCUGAAAGAUGUUUGUGUAUUGCUGUGACAUCGCUGGCAUUGGCAGAUAUUUACUUAACUGUAACAAUCUUUCUUCAGCAGGCUUGAAUCAGCAUGCUGUAAGUUGGUCAAAUGCAACUGAACUCUGUGUCCCCUAAACUAUACCUCUGCUCACUGAAAGCCGUUCAUAGCACUGUUCAGACAAAUGGCUGGUGACUGGUUUUCCACUCAUCUCUUGAAGAUAUCAGUAUCUAGAAGAUUCCUGUGAUCUGUUCAGGUAUGCUGAAACAGGCAAAGAAUUCCUUAAAUUAUGUAAGCUCCAGAAACAUCAAAAACAGUGGUUUAUUUCCUGAUUCAAAGAUGAGUGCAUAUGUGCUGCAUGCACAAUGCAUGAUAUGCUCCAUAUAAACAGUAUUGAGCUCUUAGAAAGUGUUUUGGUGUCCUAAAAGGAUUUUUUUUUUUAAUAAAUAAACAAUUAAACAAAUAAAUAUUAACUUAAGGCAGUUUUGUUUUUCUCUAAUCAGAGGGUAAGAGUUAAUUUAAUUGGAAAAAAAAAAUCUAGUUUUCAUUAUAUACUCUGAUGUACUGCUUUUUUUUGUCAAAGAAAGGAUGUAUUUGGGGAAGUAAUUAGUCAUUAACUCUUUUUUGCAGUUACCUCAGUGAAUCCAUUAGUACUAACUUCAGUAUGUAUGAGAGCAGCCCGUCUUGUUUGUCAAAGCCACACUACAAAAUCCUCAAAGCCCAUUUCGAAAGAAAAUUGAGUUGUGCUCAGUCACUAAAAAGCUUUUUAUAAUUCCUUCUUCUGCAUUUCGAAUUACUUAGAAACUGCAAUUGCACAAUCUUUAUCUUAUGUAAAAUGUAAUAUCUAAUAGCAGGAACAUAUAAUGAAGGCUGUCCAAGAUAAGGGUGCAGAGUUAACGAGGUUGUGGGAACACGCAUGCAAAGCAGAAAGAAUGGGAUGUCAAAUGUUGCAAAAUUUGAGAAAUAAGGCAAAAUGUUUGCAACAUUUUCUUACAGACUUUCAUGAUCAAACAGUGACUGAUCUGUGACCAGAUAUCUAUAUCACUGGGUAGGAACUAAAAAUCGGCUGGUGGCACAUACACAUUCUUACUUAUCAUUCCUGUGGAUACUUGCUGGCGGCUACUAAAGUUAGCAUUUGGUACUAUCUGCAACUGAUUAUACAUUGGUAAAGCUAAAACCCUUUUGUUGCAUUGUGCUUUAAACAUUUCCAGUAUUUAAAUGGGAUUUCUUCAAAAUAAUCAAGCAACCAAAGGAUUUGGUGAGGUGAGGGCCAGCCUCUUCUCCCGUUUAACUAGCAACAGGACUAGAGGGAAUGGCCUUAAGUUAUGCAUGGGGAGAUUCAGGUUGGAAAUUAGGAAAUACUU